GUCCUUGGAUAUUGGUGGCAUGUUUCGUUGUUUUCCAGUAUUAAAUAUGUUGGCUACAGAGUCAGACUACAUCAAAAUCAAAUAUUCCAUAGCAAAAGCACUAUUAGCGAUCCUUGUAGCUUCGGCCAG